GAGUUUGAUCGUGGCUCAGAUUGAACGCUGGCGGCAUGCUUUACACAUGCAAGUCGAACGGUAACGCGGGGGCAACCCUGGCGACGAGUGGCGAACGGGUGAGUAAUGCAUCGGAACGUGUCCUCUUGUGGGGGAGUAACCAGUCGAAAGACUGGCUAAUACCGCAUGAGAUCGAGAGAUGAAAGCGGGGGACCGCAAGGCCUCGCGCGAGAGGAGCGGCCGAUGCCGGAUUAGCUAGUUGGCGGGGUAAUGGCCCACCAAGGCGACGAUCCGUAGCUGGUCUGAGAGGACGACCAGCCACACUGGGACUGAGACACGGCCCAGACUCCUACGGGAGGCAGCAGUGGGGAAUUUUGGACAAUGGGGGCAACCCUGAUCCAGCCAUG
rnacentral:rRNA from 1 species